rnacentral:lncRNA from 1 species
CCCCCCUUGAGCAUCCCCCUUGUUGGCGUUUCAGGACUACAGCACUGCUCAGAACAAUUGUCAAACUAAACCCUUAAUCCGGUAUUUUUACAAAAAAUGACAUCUUUUCUUCAAAUAUCUGAAUUACUACAGCACACAGCCUACACAUUAUACCAUACUACCACCACAGUAGCUAUGUUUCAUGGUUCUAUUUCAAUUUGCUGCUUUAAUCACCUUUAAAAAGAAAAGUAUCAUUAUUCAGACACGACAACAUAGUAAGAAAAUUUGUUUAAUAUUUAAAUUUGAAAUCAAUAUAACUAUAAAAAGUUGACCUCAAGUGACUGUAUGAUACUAUAAUGCUUUUCAAAAAAUAAGUCAGUGGACAAUACUGUCAAUGGAAACUCAAUUCUAUACGACCCGAAAGUUUUAACUUUUCAGCGAACAUCUCACACAAAAUUGACAGCUUUGUGUACG